rnacentral:rRNA from 1 species
AAGGCCUUCGGGUUGUAAAGCUCUUUUGUCAGGGAAGAAACGGUAGUUUCGAAUAAAGACUACUAAUGACGGUACCUGAAGAAUAAGCACCGGCUAACUACGUGC